AAGGAGAGAAAAAUAAUGUGGGAAUUCGCUGUUGGACUGACAUACGAAAAAAACGUGUACCAAUUUCUCAAAUACAAAAUUCCUCCUUCGCCUCGAGGGAGCUGCUGGCUCUGUUCACACUGUGUUUCUUCUUCUUCUUCUUUCGCCUGCAAAAUUUGGAAUUAGAUGAAAAUCUGCAGCAAUCCAUGACCACCCAUGAGCCUUCCAUCUCCCCGAAUGAUAACCUGAAAGGUUUUCUUCUUGCUAUGUUGUCCAGCGCCUUUAUUGGGUCCAGCUUCAUCAUCAAGAAGUUGGGUCUUCGUCGGGCUGGUGCUUCGGGUUCACGAGCGAGUUCUGGUGGAUAUGGGUAUCUAUUAGAGCCCCUUUGGUGGAUCGGCAUGAUUACCAUGAUUGUUGGGGAGUUUUCCAAUUUUGUGGCUUAUAUUUAUGCUCCUGCUAUUCUCGUGACGCCACUUGGAGCAAUAAGUAUAAUUGUUAGUGCUGUACUUGCACAUUUUUUCUUGAAGGAAAAAUUGCAGAAAAUGGGUGUAUUGGGGUGUAUUUUAUGUGUUGUAGGGUCUACAAUGAUUGUGCUCCAUGCACCUGGUGAACGUACUCCGAGUUCAGUGGAUGAGAUAUGGGAACUAGCAACUCAACCAACUUUCCUUCUCUAUACGGCCUCAGUAAUAGCUAUUGUGUUGUUCCUGGUGUUGUAUUGCGAACCCCGCUAUGGACAGACAAACAUACUCAUUUACAUUGGAAUAUGUUCCAUAAUUGGAUCCUUGACGGUAAUGAGCAUCAAAGCUAUUGGCAUUGCAAUAAAGCUCACAAUGGAGGGUUGGAGUCAGGUUGCUCACUUCCAAACAUGGGUCUUUGUAAUGGUUGCAAUCUCAUGCAUAAUCAUUCAGUUGAAUUAUUUAAAUAAGGUUAAAAUAUCAUUUUGGUCUCUGUACUUUGGAUUUCAUUCCAAUUUAGCUUUGGACACAUUUGACACUGCUGUUGUUUCGCCAAUUCAUUAUGCAAUGUUCACAUCUUUCACGAUCUUUGCCAGUGUCAUAAUGUUUAAGGAUUGGUCUGGUCAGAGUGCUAGCAGCAUUGCAUCAGAACUCUGUGGAUUUGUAACCAUACUUUCUGGGACCGUGGUCUUGCAUGAUACAAGAUCACCUGAUCCUGCUUCCGUUUCAGAGAUGUACAUGUCUGUCUCUCCUCAAGUGUCGUGGUAUUUCCCUGCAAAUGGCGAUACCUGGAAACGGAAAUCUGAAGAAAUACUAUUGCCAGAUUUUGAUGCAAUCCUCAAACAAGACCAUUUCACAUGAAAUGAAAGAGAUUUAGACAAAUGUUUCAAUUUUGGGAUCUUGGAACAACAUGAUGAAAGCUUUAGAAAGGUGAAGAACAUUAGUGGGAUAAACUUCAGUUUCAAGUUGAGAACCAUAAGCUUUGGAUGCUAUAAGGACAUUGACAGCUUCUGUUGGAUGUAACCCGUCAAAGUAGACAUGGUUGGUUCUGUUUGGGCAAGUUUUUCCUCCAUUUUUGCACAAAAUUCCAUUUCCACCUUCAUUCAGAGAUGGCACUUCACAACAGGGCAUAGCUGCCUCAAUAAAACCUGAAAAGCACUCAUCAUGUGUUAGUUUUAGUUCAUUGAAGGGGGUUUUCUUUUUUUGUUGAUAUGUGGGGUGGGAGGAUGUAAAUCUCAGAUCUUGAGAUUGAUAGUAUAAGUUCGUGUCCGUUGCAUUAUGUUCAUGUUGGCUAUUGAAAGUGUUUUCAAAUGUUUUGAAGGAUAUAUUGUCAUGAAAAUUUUACUUGGUAAAAUUACAUUAUAUGUU